rnacentral:rRNA from 1 species
GACGAACGCUGGCGGCGUGCUUAACACAUGCAAGUCGAACGAAGAGCGAUGGAAGCUUGCUUCUAUCAAUCUUAGUGGCGAACGGGUGAGUAACGCGUAAUCAACCUGCCCUUCAGAGGGGGACAACAGUUGGAAACGACUGCUAAUACCGCAUACGAUCUAAUCUCGGCAUCGAGGAUAGAUGAAAGGUGGCCUCUACAUGUAAGCUAUCACUGAAGGAGGGGAUUGCGUCUGAUUAGCUAGUUGGAGGGGUAACGGCCCACCAAGGCGAUGAUCAGUAGCCGGUCUGAGAGGAUGAACGGCCACAUUGGGACUGAGACACGGCCCAGACUCCUACGGGAGGCAGCAGUGGGGAAUCUUCCGCAAUGGACGAAAGUCUGACGGAGCAACGCCGCGUGAGCGAUGACGGCCUUCGGGUUGUAAAGCUCUGUUAAUCGGGACAAAAGGCCUUCUUGCGAAUAGUGAGAAGGAUUGACGGUACCGGAAUAGAAAGCCACGGCUAACUACGUG